UGUGCCUAUAGUAGGAUCAUUUCUAUAGUUUACGUCCCUCUUUGUCUCUUCUAAAGAGCCACUGAAUCCAACUUGGUUGAUGAGGUAUAUACCUUUGUGCCCUAGAGUGAGAUUAAACUUUCAUUUAGCUUGUCUAUAAUCCUUUGCGGUUUAGUCAUCUAUUCUUUGAAGUUUUUGCCUUUUUUGUUUAUUCCUGAUUAUUAUCCUUGUGAUAUUGUCAUGGAUGUCUUAUAAAAGGAGCGAUGAUCUCGACCCUAUCUAUGCACUUUUUCGAAAGGGAUAGAUGUGGGUGGGUGCAAAU
rnacentral:snoRNA from 1 species